GAAGUCUUUUUACUUUCGUUUGGGCCAUGGCGGCCAGUGCUCCUAAGAUCAUAGAAGCAAUGCUGCAGAAAAAGAAGAUUUGUUGCAAUGUAGCUCCAUAAGAACCAUAAAUAGAAACACGUGAAAUAUUAGCAGAAAUAGAGAUUUUAGGCGCAAUAGAAAGGAAUGCUGUAACCGGGGUGGGUGAACCCUCAUAGAUAUCAGGUGCCCACAUAUAUAGAGUCAAAAGAUAUAUGGAGUCCGAAGGGUAGGGGGUUUUCUUCGGGGCUCGAGAGAUGGAAUAGAUAGGGCCCCACAAGUUUGAAAUUCGCCGCUGGGGAAUUCACACGAAAGGGAACGAGGAAUUCUCAACGAAAAAAGUGCUCUCUGAACCGAACGUGAAAGUAGUUUUCCAUCAGACGGCUUUUCCUGUAACUCUACUCUCGACUUGGAUUAUAUAUCCAAAAAGGUCCGCUCUCGGCCAUUCCACACGCUGCCUAGCAGAGACGUGGUUAUCUGAAGUGGAUUCUCUCUUUUGUAGUAGAUGCCGAACCUGCUGUGCCCCAUUGACUAAGAAGGGGGCGGACACAGCAGCUACAUGGACCCCUUCCUUUCAGUUGUUGCCAGCGCUUUCCCGGGCCGAGCCGGAAUUUUUUAUUAGAAAGGGCAGGCAAAGCCCGAAGGCUGCUAUCCCAAUAGGAAGGGCGGAACGAGGAGAGGGGCGUUCAGCCACUUGACUGUAAGGAGAGGGCCCGGCAAUCAUACCACGGCGGUCAAAAAAGCGUGUUCCCUUCAGAUAAGACGCACCGUAGGCCAUCCUCGGCCUUCUUCGUUUUCGAUGAAAAAAAAAUCUCGAUCUCCGAAAGCGUUUUCCUUCCCCCGCCGCACCUCCCUCCCUUCGUCGAGCCUUUACUUUAAUGGUUGGGGAAAGCAUUCCCUUAUCUGAACUUGGUGGGCAUUCUUUCCAGCCUUAGUAAAAUAGGGGGUGGGUUUGGCUUGAACAUAGGCUCAAACAGAAUUUGAAGGGUCCUAGCUACGCCAUGCGUUCAAUACAAAAUCUGGAAAGCUGCAGGGAUGACAAAAAGAGGGCGCUUUCCUGUGUUGCACCGAAAAAAAGGACCUAAGAGACGAGCGUCUUCUCUUAGGUUUCUUCCUCCCGCGCCCGUCGCCGCCCGGCCCGCGUUAGAGGGGAAGAUUAGCAAAGCGGGAAAAGAAAGAGGGAAGGGGAGCAGCAUCUUAUUCUCUUCGCGAGAACUUCCGGAUCGUAGAAGCAUUCGGAACGGGCUCCGCGUUCAUUUCGUUGGCAGAAACGAUCCAUUCCAUUCGGGGCUUCGGGGAACCAAAAAAUUGGACUUGAGAAUCAAGGAUAGAUAGACAAGAGAUAGAUAAACGAUAUAUAUAUAUUUCUCACAAAAAAAUUGUGAGAUAAAGAGCAGAUGGAUCCUAUCCCCUAUAUCGAACACUCAUUCCUAUCUAUUGAUAGAAAGAUCUUCGUCAAAUACCGGACUUUGCCUUUUUUUAGGAAUUACUCAUAUCCAAAGCAGCUUUUCACAAGCACCCCACCCCAUACAACUAGUUGGGGGGGCUGUUCGCCUUUUGAAUCAAACAAAGUAAGUAGUAGGGGCGUUCAGCCACUUGACUGUAAGGAGAGGGGCUUCAUAGCAACUUUCAUUCUAAAGGAAAGCGAAGAACCAACCUUUAGUCAAUAGGAGCCCUACUUCCCUCUUUCCGACCUCAUCACUUCAAUUCAAGGGCAAACCCAUUUCCUAGUCACCGGGCUGAGCGCACCUUUGGUACUUCAAUAGGGCGAGCAGUUUGAUAGUGACUUCUUUCGUUUGGUAGGGCGACGAAAGGCUACUUCAAUGACGGAAACAGCCGGAAACUCGAGAGGGUCGCCUUUGGAGAAGCGUUUGCCGGUAACCAAAGCCUCACUCUGAUUAUGUCGUGAGGCUGACGGAAUCCAAUCCAUAAACCCGGAAAUGAAACGUUGUUCGUUCCCUUUCGUCAAGUAGGUAAAGUAGGCAUACGAACCACUUUGCCUUAGACUCUAUUGGAACAAAGCAAAGAAGGAGGCGGAAUGGAGAAAGGAAAGGGACAAGGGCGGUCUUGCUUGGCGCGAAGGCUGCUGGUUCGGGGGUAGAGUACAGUACUAAAGGUCCUCGGACUUCCAGGCGGUUUUUCUUUUGGGCAGCUGUUCACCGUUGGAUCUCGCCAAUACAGCCCCCUAUAGUUUUCGUUACCGAGAUAUCUUUUUUUUUUCAUUGUUCCCAGGGAUUUUUUGGGGAAUCUGCUCCCAUGCUGCAAACAGUCAAAUCUGAACUGAACCCUGUCGCUCUUCUUUCUUUCCUCGCGAGCAGGAAGCACACCAGCAGCGUGCGUUGCGUGAUUCUACUGUGUUUUUUGCACUUGACUGGGUGGACAGUUGACCGGAAGAUAACUUCGAUUCGCCCGGCCAGCAGGCGGGCGGCGUGCUUAUCUUGUGUGACAACACUACAGAGCGAGUUGCUCUUCUAGGCGGGCAGCUGUGUGACAACACUACAGAGAAAGCGGCGCUUUCGUGUAACAUGCUAUGGUCUCAACGCCCUUACGAGGUAGUGAUGAGUUUCACGCGCUCUAAGCCCGGCCCGCGCGCGGUUAGGAAGAUUGGCCGCAGAGCGGUACCACCCACCCUACCCUACCACCUAUAGGCGGCCGUCCUACAGCCGCCCGAAAAGGAACUGCAGUGAUCUUGAAUAGGGAUCCUACAGCGAUAAAUAGAAUCCCCAUAAAAAUACCACUAGAUCGAGCACCAGUGAUUUCGUAUCCGGUCAAAAUCUUGGCUAAUUGAUCGAAGUGGGUAGCUCCAGUAGACCCAUAGAUCAUGGAACAAAUAGGGUGGGUAGGCCUAAGCACCACACUACACGUAUAGACGCGAACCCCCCUCGUUACCGUACGUGCGACUCUCACCGCAUACGGCUCGCACAAAGACUCCAAAAUCCAUCCCGAGCCCUUUCUUCCACCUCUCCUCUCCAAUCCUCGAUCAAACUUGCGUUCCCCAGGCGCUAUGAAAUGGGGGUCUUUCCUUCGCCUAUCGUAUGUAUCGGCUUGGCUUCGUCCCGAACCAAGGAGGCAUUCUGGCGGACGCAUGCGUGUAGGAAGGCCGACGACUACAUAAGCUAAAAGACUACGACUACAAGACAGGCCGGAAGCGACUCGCUCCUAUUCUCGUUGGGAUUGGAUAUAGAUGGGAAAUCUAUAGAUCGUAGUAGUUCGCCAACCUCUCUAACUAACAUACGAUACAAUUUCACUUCACGGCACGGCCAAAAAAAAGAAAGAGCUUCGCUCGGUUGGCCUUCCUACGCUGACGAAUGCCUCUUUUCUCUUCUCUGAAGUCUACAACAAACAAGUGGGAGAGGCAGGAUUCGAACCUACGUAGAAAAACUUCAACAGAUUUACAGUCUGCCGCUUUUGACCACUCGGCCACUCUCCCCUUCCCGGGCCGAGGCCCCCCUCAAUGGGUUCUAAUUCUAAGAAGGGGGGCGGCGCCCUGAAUCAAUCAAAAAGCUUAUUGAUUUAAUUGAAGGGAACUAAGACGAUUAGCUUAGCUAGCGUUCCGGGAGAAUCUAGUCAUUUAAGAACUUCGUUGCCACUAGUAAAUUAGACCAUCCCCCCCAAAAAGAACUCGGAGCCUAAAGAGAAGAGAGUUCAGUCUACAAGAAGCUGGCAGAGCUUUAGCCAUUGGGCCACAUCCAUCUAUCCUAAACAGUAACCCCUUUCUUGUUCGUUCUUCGAAUGACGCUAGUGGAGACUAAUUCCUUCCGGCUAAUGAAGAUACUACUCCAGUCUUUCCAGUGGAUCCUUCCCUAAGAAUGGAACGAACCAAGUUAACCUAUACGAGAGUGAGGAAUAAAAACCAACAAUCAACUUACCGCUUUUGAUGUCCCACGAUUCUGCUAGUUUAGAAAGAAAGGAGAAGGACACCACCGGAGGCAAGCGCUAGGUCAGAAAGGCGAUAACUAAAAAAUCUCCCCAAGUAGGAUUCGAACCUACGACCAAUCGGUUAACAGCCGACCGCUCUACCACUGAGCUACUGAGGAACAACGGACUUAAUGUUGGAAGCCGACUCUCGUUCUUUGGACCAACCUAUGACCGAAGAAAAAUGAGUUCGUCACUCUUUUUCACAUACACCGGGAGAAAGGGUUACGCUAGCAAGCCCCUCCCUGGCCGGAGAGCCCCCAGGACAAGGAGGCGGCGAUCAACCAUCCACUCUCGAGAUUCAUAUUGAUCAAUAGAUCUCCGCGUCCUGCCAGUUCGCUAAGUAGACUCACUCUACCGAGGGGCAACAAAGGCUGGAACUCUUCCUGCCAAAAACAAGGGACCUACUUCUCAUCCUAGGAGUUAGCAGGUAUGAAAGAGUCCCCUCUCUGUCUGUCUCUCCGAGUUUCUACUACUAAGUAGCACUUCUGCUAUUCAAUCAUAGAAUCGAUUCCGAUCAAGCUGAAAAAAGUAAGCCCUAUAUAUGUUUGUUAUUAGUAAAGCGCUAAGGCCCUAUCUAUAGUAAGGGGCCCUUUCUUGCUCGUUAGCGCUGUUUUUUGAUUGCAGCUAGGGCGCCCCUUUUCUUUCUCAAAGUCAACUUUCUCCCUUCUUAGUCAAGCUUUGAAGUCCCUACUUUAUUUAGAUUUAUGGGAUAUUUGAAGAAGCGCAGGUUUGGAACCCUAUACCUAUACAAGGGGCUGGUCUCGAUCUCGCUUGGUGGUACCCCUCUCGAUGAUUGUUGACUCAACAUUGAUUUCGUGCUUGAGUUGGAGGGCUCUCCCUCCAUCCAUCGAGUCAAGUAAUUCGCUAUCGGAAAUUUCUCCGCCGCCUAUCUCAUGCCAUGCUUCUUCUUUCUCCGAAUCGGUUCCUAGUGUCAGUCAAUCAAGAUUCGCCAUCAAGAGAGGGAAGAGCCUUGACUUUAGGUUAGGCCGGUCUCAUCAUUCACGCAAUUCCCCCGUCCAUCGAUUGAUCACGCGAGUACGCAUCCAGUCAGCGCAUAGCGAAUGAAAAAAGCGUUCAUCCUGGAUUCUCUUCCUCAAGAAAAAUGUCUAUCAAUUGAUCCCUACGGUCAAAGUCUCCACUUUUCACGCCCCUCUACUAAGAGAUGCACCAUGUUGAUAGGAAUCGGCAAAGACCUUCUUGUACACGUCCUCGAGGGCAGCAUUCAUGGCAAUCAUCACUACUUUCUCCCGAGGGCAUGGUAUGGCUUUGUUCUUGGUCUUGUUUAAUAGAUGUCGAGUGCCGCUUUUCCCCGUCCGAGAAUCUCCAUCUGCUCUAAGUGGGCGCGAGCUAGAAUCCUUAUGUCAGCUUGGUUGUUCAAAAGACUGUCUCUUUACCCCUUGCAUCUUCAUCUUUUCGAAAGCCCAGACCAUUCUUCUGGAUCUGCAUUAGUCCUAUUUCAGGUGCAAAGCCUCUUCAAUAAAGACCUCUUUUUUUGAUUUCUCCCCCAUUUCUCAUUUUGUUGAUUGAAAGAGAAUAAGCGCUAUCCAUUGAGUAAAGAGAGGGUUUGCUACAGUGAUUCGGGCGGUUGGUGGCCCCUUCGAGAGUUGCGGGUCCUUGCCGCUGCAUGAGUGUUAGCUCACGCUCAAAACUCCUCCGACACGAGUCCUAGUCGUUGCGCUGCGGUCCGUUUCCCGGCUUCGCUUGCGCGAUUUGCACUUCUGAUUGGUUCCAGCCAUCCCCAACCUUAAUGAAUGGACUAUGAAGGGGUCAGUCAAGCGGUUCGGGUUUUCGGUCGGUUCCCGUUCGCCUUCCCCCCCCUCAUAGUCCAUUAGUGGGUAGGGUGGUCAACUUAGAGGGCGCCCGCCUCCUCUUCAGACGUGUCCUCGACAACCUGGCGGUUCUUCGGUCUCCGCUUUUGGGGGCGGGAGUGCUUGGUCGCUGGGGGUUCCUUUUCCUCAACCAAUUCGGUUGUGUCAGCCUUGGUCUAACAUUUUGUUAUGAGCUGGCUGGACAAAGAUGGAUUGAAGGUCAGAUAGAUUUGAGUUCAAGUGGCACAGCACCUUCGAUCGACCAUAGGGCCUAUUCUACCCUUACCGAAUUCAUUCUAUUGAAGCGUAACGUAAAAAGCUCCUUCUCAUCUUGCAUUUCUUUGGUUUGGAAGUUCCAGAAUCUUGUCUGUGGAUUUCUAUAACAAAGGAAAGCCUCCUACCCUAAUACUAUGCCAUUUGAUUGAAACAAGUUCCGUGCUGCUCACCACUCCUCGAGGCCAAGGACGGGGUCGAACCGUCAUUCCAGGAUUUGCAGUCCGAUACAUUUCCAUUAUGUUACCUAGCCAAACCCGCCACCUCAUGUGCCAAAGUAAAACGGUUGUUCUUCCUUCUCCGCUCCUUCUUUUUCUACAUAUGCGGCGGCGGGUUACCAGAGAAGGGGGGACAACUCCUUUCUCCUUUGCCUUGCUCAAUCUUCCUUUUCUGAUUGAAAGUAGCAAGCCACUCUACUAUUGGUACAGAGGCCAGAUAGAAGGUUGCUCAUCCAGCCCAGCGGAUCCAUUGUUUAUGCGGCAGUGCAAUGCAGCUGAAAAAGGGAAGCCCCUUUUUAUUAGUAAGGUAUAGGUUGGUUGGGGAAAACUCCAAAACUAGGGUUCCAAAAAGCUUACCUUAUAUUAUAGAAAAGUUUGAGAAAGGGGCACCCCUACUAUACCCCUAAACUACAAGCUAGCGCGCAACGGCGGAAAAGCCGUUGUUGCUUGCUGCUUGCAGGCUCGAAAAUCUCUCUUUCGCCUCUCCUCCCUGUCUCAAUUCUGAUUGAUUAGCUUCUUCCUUCGCGCAAGCUACGGUCUAACGACCCCCUUGUUGUGUUGCAUUUUGUGAUCUUCCGCUUCAGUCUGCGUUUUUCGGAUAGCCGGGACCCGAUGUUGAUUCCCGAUUUAAAUGUCAGCUCCAGGUUUGGGGCGGCCCAUCUGAUUAGUUCAGCUAUCACUGCUGGAAACCCCAGCGGUUGUUCGGCUGCGUACUCCCCGUCUGCCUAUCUCACACUCCCAAAGCAAAUUUGGAUUUCUUCUUUCAUUUUCCUUUCCUGCAUCUUUCUUUCUAUCCAUAGGUCGGCUUCGCGCAGAUAGAUCUUUGCCGGGGGAGAUUGGUGCCCCUUGAGGUAUGCCCUUCCGGUGGGUUGUUCCUUUAUCUGUCUUUUCCAUCCAGUGCCCGCACUGCGUCAGAAAAUCUUCGUCUUCGAUCUCUCUUCGCAACGCAUUUUAAGGGCUAAGACUUUCUCUCGACAUCUUUCUUUUAUUUAAGUCAUUGAUCUCAUAUCUAUAAGCAGGGGGGUCUGCGUUCACUAUUAAGCCUACGCCCGUCCAUUCCUUUCAAGCUUGAUCCUUCCCUUAGACUCGUUACCUUGUUCGACUGAACUCGUUGGUUCCGCGUUGGUCGUAACCCGGUUCGAGAACCUUCUCUCAUAGAUUCCCUUCACCAAGUCAUCGCCAGCAAUCAGCUCUUAUCCCUUGGUGUCAAAGGGCGAGUUCCUUUCUUGUCUUGCCCAAAAACUUUCUUUAUUCUCAUUGGAGAA
rnacentral:lncRNA from 1 species